CGCUGGCGGCGUGCUUAACACAUGCAAGUCGAACGGGAUCCAUCAAGCUUGCUUGGUGGUGANAGUGGCGAACGGGUGAGUAAUGCGUGACCGACCUGCCCCAUACACCGGAAUAGCUCCUGGAAACGGGUGGUAAUGCCGGAUGUUCCAGUUGAUCGCAUGGUCUUCUGGGAAAGCUUUCGCGGUAUGGGAUGGGGUCGCGUCCUAUCAGCUUGACGGCGGGGUAACGGCCCACCGUGGCUUCGACGGGUAGCCGGCCUGAGAGGGCGACCGGCCACAUUGGGACUGAGAUACGGCCCAGACUCCUACGGGAGGCAGCAGUGGGGAAUAUUGCACAAUGGGCGCAAGCCUGAUGCAGCGACGCCGCGUGAGGGAUGGAGGCCUUUCGGGUUGUAAACCUCUUUUAUCGGGGAGCAAGUGAGUGUACCUUUCGAAUAAGCACCGGCUAACUACGUGCCAGCAGCCGCGG
rnacentral:rRNA from 1 species